GACGAACGCUGGCGGCGUGCUUAACACAUGCAAGUCGAACGGAAAGGCCCUGCUUUUGUGGGGUGCUCGAGUGGCGAACGGGUGAGUAACACGUGAGUAACCUGCCCUUGACUUUGGGAUAACUUCAGGAAACUGGGGCUAAUACCGGAUAGGAGCUCCUGCUGCAUGGUGGGGGUUGGAAAGUUUCGGCGGUUGGGGAUGGACUCGCGGCUUAUCAGCUUGUUGGUGGGGUAGUGGCUUACCAAGGCUUUGACGGGUAGCCGGCCUGAGAGGGUGACCGGCCACAUUGGGACUGAGAUACGGCCCAGACUCCUACGGGAGGCAGCAGUGGGGAAUAUUGCACAAUGGGCGGAACCCUGAUGCAGCAACGCCGCGUGCGGGAUGACGGCCUUCGGGUUGUAAACCGCUUUCGCCUGUGACGAAGCGUGAGUGACGGUAAUGGGUAAAGAAGCACCGGCUAACUACGU
rnacentral:rRNA from 1 species